UCCUCGGUAGCUCAGCGGUAGAGCAACCGGCUGUUAACCGGUUGGUCGUAGGUUCGAAUCCUACCCGAGGAGCCA
rnacentral:tRNA from 1 species